GUCUAUGGCUGUGCUACCCUGAACAAGCCCAAUGUCUGAUCUCAGAAGCUAAGCAAGGUCGGGCCUGGUUAGUACUUGGAUGGGAAACCACCUAGAAAGACUAGGUGCUGUUGGCA
rnacentral:rRNA from 1 species